rnacentral:rRNA from 1 species
AAUAAUGUCUGGGAAACUGCCCGAUGGAGGGGGAUAACUACUGGAAACGGUAGCUAAUACCGCAUAAUGUCGCAAGACCAAAGAGGGGGACCUUCGGGCCUCUUGCCAUCGGAUGUGCCCAGAUGGGAUUAGCUUGUUGGUGAGGUAAUGGCUCACCAAGGCGACGAUCCCUAGCUGGUCUGAGAGGAUGACCAGCCACACUGGAACUGAGACACGGUCCAGACUCCUACGGGAGGCAGCAGUGGGGAAUAUUGCACAAUGGGCGCAAGCCUGAUCACCNUGCCGCGUG